AGUAACGCGUGAGAAUCUGCCCUCAGGAGGGGGACAACAGCUGGAAACGGCUGCUAAUACCCCAUAUGCCGCGAGGUGAAAUGAAUUUCGCCUGAGGAUGAGCUCGCGUCUGAUUAGCUAGUUGGUGUAGGUAAUGGCUCACCAAGGCAUCGAUCAGUAGCUGGUCUGAGAGGAUGAUCAGCCACACUGGGACUGAGACACGGCCCAGACUCCUACGGGAGGCAGCAGUGGGGAAUUUUCCGCAAUGGGCGAAAGCCUGACGGAGCAACGCCGCGUGAGGGAUGAAGGCCUCUGGGCUGUAAACCUCUUUUAUCAAGGAAGAAGAUCUGACGGUACUUGAUGAAUAAGCCACGGCUAAUUCCGUG
rnacentral:rRNA from 1 species